AAAUUACUGAAUACACCAAGUCACUUAUAACUUGUGUAAACCUUUCAAGUAAUGCAGUUUUCAUUUGAAUAUCAAUUGUUAAAUCUUCAAUAUACAUCACAAUUCCUACACAGCCAGGGUACAUAUUGCAAUGAACGUAGAACAAUCAUUGUAAAAAGAAAUUUCCAGUGAUUCGGGACAUCUAUUUGUUUGUUUUUACCUUCAGCAGCUUAUAAGUGCUAUAUUUACCUGAAGCUUUUCUUGAGACAUGGAUACUGCUAGCCAAUUGCCAGACGGGACUUUGAAUUCUGAAAUUUAAACACAUUUUAAGGACUGCAUUCCGCUUAUUACAGUCUUGAAGUAAAUCUGUUCUUUGCAUACCA